UUCAUACUCCCUCUGUUCGAAAUUACUUGUCACAGAAAUGGAUGUAUCUAGACGUAUUUUAGUUCUAGAUACAUUCAUUUCCGAGGCAAGUAAUUCCGAACGGAGGGAGUAGUUG
rfam:Triticum aestivum genome assembly, contig: Triticum_aestivum_CS42_TGACv1_scaffold_289018_4AL